rnacentral:rRNA from 1 species
AACGCGAAGAACCUUACCUAGGCUUGACAUGCACGAGCAAGCUCUCAGAAACGAGAGCCCCUCUUCGGAGAUCGUGCACAGGUGCUGCAUGGCUGUCGUCAGCUCGUGUCGUGAGAUGUUGGGUUAAGUCCCGCAACGAGCGCAACCCUUAUCUCCAGUUGCCAUCAUUCAGUUGGGCACUCUGGCGAAACCGCCUCGGAUAACGGGGAGGAAGGUGGGGAUGACGUCAAGUCCUCAUGGCCUUUAUGUCCAGGGCUACACACGUGCUACAAUGGCCGGUAUAAACCGCUGCAAACCCGCGAGGGGGAGCUAAUCGGAAAAAGCCGGCCUCAGUUCGGAUCGCAGUCUGCAACUCGACUGCGUGAAGCUGGAAUCGCUAGUAAUCGCAGAUCAGAAUGCUGCGGUGAAUACGUUCCCGGGCCUUGUACACACCGCACGA